CUCUCGUCCGAGUGGAGCGUGCCUGUUAACGGUCCUCAAAUGUCUUCCAGGGAGAAUGGUCUUGUUUAGCUGGAUUUCAUCUCUAUUUACGGGCAUUUCAUCUGUGCGAAGAGGGGCAGAUUGUUUCCUAUUCUGUUGCUAUUUUUUUUGGUUUUGUUUGCCUUUCAGAUUGUUCCCCAUUCUGUAUUUUGUUUUGUUUUGGCAUUGCCAUGCCCUUUGUUCCUUCUACUUCUGAGUUUUGGGUUUUUUCUUUGUCAUUUUCCAUUCAUGGUAUUUUGUAAAUAUUUUGUGUGUGGAUCGCAAUUUUUCAAUGGUAAAUUAGUUCGACCAUGAUAGGCCUUGAUUUUUGUUUGCUCAUAAUUGUUUUCCACAAGGAAGCUGCAGUUCCACAAUUUUAGAAGUCUUUUCUGAGCUGUCCAUUUUGCUGGCCUUCACUAUCCUCAACAGUGUUCAGCCCAUGCUUUCAGGGAGGAGUUCAAGAAGAGCUAUAACGAGGCCGAUCCUAAAGCCAAGGGUAUUUCCCAGGUUGCCGAAAAUGGUGGUGAUAAAUUGAUGGUGGCUAAUGAGCUGGAGGCUAGACAUGGCAAAGGAGGAUUGGUUGCUUAAUCAGGCUGUUUUGAAGAAAAUACAUGGUAGACCUGAAUACCAGCAACAAAAUCCCAUGAUAGCUCAAAAUCCCAUGAUGGUGCUUCAACAAAUCCAUGUACAAACUUGCCCAUCAUCUCCAAGUGAAUCCAUCAUUCAGUCUCUUUAUGAUGGUUUUUGUUCACUGUUUAUCAAAAUUCAGUCUCUUUAUCAUGGUUUUAGUUCACUGUUUAUCAAACUUUGAACGUUUAUUUUUCUUUGCCUUGUUUUAAAAGCAAUACGGACUGCUUUUUGGAUUCUUUUUGCAACAGGACAGCAUUAUCCUUGUUUUUAGUUCAUCUGUUUUAUCAUCAGUUAGGAUAUCUUAGAAGUAUUAUUUUAAGUGUGAUUGUAAAAAUCUUCUAUUGCAGCAAAGAAGAGCAAUUUCUUUCAUAA